UAUAUUGCCACAUGGGCCUGGCACACAGCACACAGGUUGGAAGUGAUAUGCCACUGGCCUGUGUAUGUCCCCAAUAGCUAUCAGGUGGGCUGUGAGCAUGAGUUGUGCACUAAAUAGGAUGCACAGGUGUUUCGUGUGAGCACUAAUACAGCCAGUGUGGAGGGGAAGUGGCUUCUAAGAGCAAGUGCAUUGCAAACUCUCAGCUUGGAUCUUCAGCCUUUUCCAUAUAGGCCUGGAUGGAUGAUCUGGGAAGAAGAGCAGGAAGCAUGCUGUGGCUUGAACUCCUUGCAAUCGUUCCACAGGGAUCUGGGUCUGCUUUACAUUUGCAGGAGAAACGGAAGAUGGGAAGGCUGGAGGACCACCGAUCAGAGGGCAGGACUGUGUGAGAGAUGCCUAGCUGAAUGAUCCUGGCCGUUCUUGGAAUCUACCUCAAAAAUGCCAGUCACUGGAUUCCACAGCUGCAAUAGCUUCUGUGUGUUGAGUCAAGUUUCUGAAACUUCGUAUCCUUCCUAACCGGCUGGAAAGAAAUCGCUCUAUUAGACAAACUCUGGUUCUGAGGGAAUGAACAAAUAGAGCUUCAGCUACCCUGCUGGCAUGUGGUGUAAAUACUUAAUUUGUGUUACAGUAUGUGACAAUACAUAUGAUCCGAUUUAAUCACCUGGACUAGCCAAGGAUCCAGGCCUAGCAAACAACUUAGAAACCAUUAAAUCACAUAGAAUUCAUUCAUACUUUAAAAUAAGCUUUAUUUUUUUUUUUUAAUAUUUUUAUAUUUGCAUCCAUGCCUUCAAGGACUCUUCCCCACUCAUGUGGGAAAAGUUAAAUCUAAUGUUACCCAUAAUUCAUAUGCUAUUAAUUGUAGUUUUCUUUUAAAUAAAUCAUCCUCUUAGUAACUUUUUUAGAAUUAUUUCCUAAUUUAGAAAAGCUGAAAUGAAAAGGAAACUACUAAAAUAACCAGGAGUUUUGCUUGCUUGUUUUUAAAUUAUAACACACAAGAGGGGGAAAAAUGUAUAAAGAUGGUCCUCUGCAGAGAAGGAUGCCACAGGGUUGUUCUCCCCCACCCUGGUUUGGGACAGAUCCCCAUUGCAAAGCAGUGCAGGUAUUUAAAGCUGCUUUCCCUAACCCGCUGUGGUUUCUCCAGAUCGUUGUUAGAAGGAAAUGUAACAUGGGGGUAUUUUGUGUUUUAAUUUCAUAAUUAAAGACCAAAUAUCCCUUUCAAACAGGGUGCACGUAU